rnacentral:rRNA from 1 species
AUACGUAGGGGACGAGCGUUGUCCGGAAUUACUGGGCGUAAAGGGCGCGCAGGCGGAUAUUUAAGUCAGCUGUAAAAGGCAUGAGCUCAACUCAUGUAUGCGGUUGAAACUGGGUAUCUAGAGUGCUGGAGAGGUAGGCGGAAUUCCCGGUGUAGCGGUGAAAUGCGUAGAUAUCGGGAAGAACACCAGUGGCGAAGGCGGUUUGCUGGCUGCAUACUGACGCUGAAGCGCGAAAGCCAGGGGAGCAAACGGGAUUAGAUACCCCGGUAGUCCUGGCAGUAAACGAUGUAUGCUGGGUGUGGGAGUAGCGAUACCUCCGUGCCGAAGUUAACGCGAUAAGCAUACCGCCUGGGGAGUACGGUCGCAAGAUUGAAACUCAAAGGAAUUGACGGGG